rnacentral:rRNA from 1 species
AGCGAACGCUGGCGGCAGGCCUAACACAUGCAAGUCGAACGAACCUUUCGGGGUUAGUGGCGGACGGGUGAGUAACACGUGGGAACGUGCCUUUAGGUUCGGAAUAACUCAGGGAAACUUGUGCUAAUACCGAAUGUGCCCUUCGGGGGAAAGAUUUAUCGCCUUUAGAGCGGCCCGCGUCUGUUUAGCUAGUUGGUUGAGGUAAUGGCUCACCAAGGCGACGAUCAGUAGCUGGUCUGAGAGGAUGAUCAGCCACAUUGGGACUGAGACACGGCCCAAACUCCUACGGGAGGCAGCAGUGGGGAAUCUUGCGCAAUCGGCGAAAGCCUGACGCAGCCAUGCCGCGUGAAUGAUGAAGGUCUUAGGAUUGUAAAAUUCUUUCACCGGGGACGAUAAUGACGGUACCCGGAGAAGAAGCCCCGGCUAACUUCGUG